GUACACGCUGUGACUAGCAUAUCAAUAAGCGGAGGAAAAGAAACUAACAAGGAUUCCCCUAGUAACGGCGAGUGAAGCGGGAAGAGCUCAAAUUUGAAAUCUUAAAGGGUUUCCCUUUACGAAUUGUAGUUUAAAGAAGUGUUUUCUGUUGAGGUUUUGGUAAAAGUUCUUUGGAAUAGGACAUCGAUAGAGGGUGAGAAUCCCGUAUUUGACCUUUACUUUCAACUUUGUGAUACACUUUCAAAGAGUCGGAUUGUUUGGGAAUGCAGUCCAAAAUGGGUGGUAAAUUUCAUCUAAAGCUAAAUAUUGGCGAGAGACCGAUAGCGAACAAGUACCGUGAGGGAAAGAUGAAAAGAACUUUGAAAAGAGAGUUAAACAGUACGUGAAAUUGUCAAAAGGGAAGCGUUUGACACCAGUGUUGUUUUUCUGAAAAUCAAUUAAAGAACUGUUUAUGCUAAGUUGUUUAGACUUUAUCAGCUAACUGUUUAGUUUUGAGCUUUUCUUUAAUGCACUUUUCAGUUAACAAGUCAACAUCAAUUUCUUUUGCUGUAAAAAAGCUUGAGGAAGGUGGCUUGAGAUUCAGUCUUAAGUGUUUAUAGCCUCUUGCCUAUGCAGUCGGAGAGAUUGAGGUCUGCAGCGUAGAUCCCUUCGGGGCUAAAUGCAUUUGUGCUAAGUUAUAGCAUUUUAUAGACAACUUGUUGACUAUGAUUUGUCUUGUAGCUUACUCGCUUAUGUUAUUUUACCUACGCUUAGGAUGUUGACAGCAGUAUAGACUGU
rnacentral:rRNA from 1 species